UGAGGAAUCCCGUACGCUGACCCGCGACCAACCCCAUGUGAAACCCCUUCGACGAGUCGAGUUGUUUGGGAAUGCAGCUCAAAACGGGUGGUAAAUUUCAUCUAAAGCUAAAUACCGGCCAGAGACCGAUAGCGCACAAGUAGAGUGAUCGAAAGAUGAAAAGCACUUUGGAAAGAGAGUCAAAAAGUACGUGAAAUUGUUGAAAGGGAAGCGCUUGCAACCAGACCUGUCCGCGGGCGAUCAACCUCCGUUCUCGGGGGUGCACUCGCCCGCGAUCAGGCCAGCAUCGGUCCGGGCGGUCGGACAAAGGCCGCGGGAAUGUAGCUCCCCUCGGGGAGCCUUAUAGCCCGCGGUGCAAUGCGACCAGCCCGGACCGAGGACCGCGCUUCGGCUAGGAUGCUGGCGUAAUGGUUGCAAGCGACCCGUCUUGAAACACGGACCAAGGAGUCUAACAUCUAUGCGAGUGUUUGGGCGCGAAACCCACACGCGGAAUGAAAGUGAACGGAGGUGAGAACCCUCGAGGGCGCAUCAUCGACCGAUCCAGAUGUCUUCGGAUGGAUUUGAGUAGGAGCAUAGCUGUUGGGACCCGAAAGAUGGUGAACUAUGCCUGAAUAGGGUGAAGCCAGAGGAAACUCUGGUGGAGGCUCGCAGCGGUUCUGACGUGCAAAUCGAUCGUCAAAUUUGGGUAUAGGGGCGAAAGACUAAUCGAACCAUCUAGUAGCUGGUUCCUGCCGAAGUUUCCCUCAGGA
rnacentral:rRNA from 1 species